GACUAGUAAUAAUCCAGCAACCUUUUCAUAAAAUUAUCGACUUUAUGCUAUUUGAAAAAAUUAAGAAGUUCUUGAACCGUAUCAAUUUGAUUACGAUUAAUAUAUUAUAGUUGUGUUCGAGGUAUAUUUACCAGUUUCAGUGUUUCUAAAGAGUUUUUAAGUUAUGGGUAGAUCUAUUCCAAGUCAUCAUCAUAUAGAUAUCUUCGCUUAUUUCGGAUAUUGAUAGUAGGUUAAUAAUUUUAUUUUUACCUUGUAAUACAUUUUCGGCAAAUCUGGGUGGAUCUGUAGUUGGUAGUAUCUGGAAAUAUCUUCUCUCGUUACGGAAAGAUAUUACCCAUAUUGUUGUUAUUCGUAAAUUAUUUUUUUUAGGUCUGCUUUUAAGAUUGUAGGAUUACGUGAUGAUGUCAGAAGGACUGCAGAAACUCUUGCUUUUUACAAUUUUCGUGAGCCUGAUGAUCUUUUGUGACAGGUACAGAUAGCUAUGUAAGAUUGAUAAGGAAAUUUUAGAGUAAAAUUUUUUAUCCAUCAUAAGUUUGUUAGCCAGUCAUUUUUGCUUCAGUUAAUGCGUGUCCUGUUUUUCAUUCUGCUUUCAUCAUUUUCUCUUUCAUUGACCAACAGUUUAUAGUAUUCAUCCGUUAAAGGAUAAUAAGUGAUUCUUUAGAUCUAUGGGAUCCAAACGUAGUGAGUCGAAGAUUUCCUGAGUGGCUAUACUCUACAUAAGUAUCUAAGUCUAUUAGGUGUAAAUUAUAGGGAUAUGGCUCGCUUUAUUUUCUUUAUUAGGUUUUUUAGGUUUUCUGGAGUCAAGGUUUGUGUAAGUAGAGUAAGUUUCUAUGUUACUAGUUCAAGUGCUCUUUUGGCGAUAUUCAUGGUGUUACAGUGUGUUGAAUUUUGUAAGCAAUUUGCUUCUGGUGGAGAAUUUCUUGGUAUUGCUAUUUUGGGCUUAUAUGCUGUGAUGAACAGGUGUCUAGAUAGCUCCUGCUGGCACUUUCAAUUGUUACUCUUUGGCAUUGAGCCCUAAAAAAAUUGUUUAUCUAAUUAGUGUUGAGUUUUCUUUUUGUAUUUGUUUCUAUAGAUAUAUUGGUGUAUAUAAGUGUGUAUACAGUGUCUGGUUUUGUAAUGACAGCGUAUGUAUUUCUGGUCAUUUUCCUACACUCUGUCUUUUAUUUCUUCAUUUUCAUCUUUUUCUAUAGGUUAUUCGGCGUUCCACGAGUAUGGUCAUAAUCUACUCAGGCAACGUGCCUGCAUAUGUUGGAUCACUAGGUCCUUAUCUAAUCUAUACAACCGGCCUUACGACCAUAGGCUGGGGUCUAGUCAAGUGAGGAACCACCGCCAUUCCGCGGAACCUAGAGGUCCGAGCCAAUCCCUCAGAUAAGGAAACUUACCGAGAGCUGCAGACAAUUGCUGGGUAGACGAUCAGCUCGAAGUGGUUAUCAAAUAUCUAAUGCUUUGCCUAUAUUUCGGGGUUGUAUUUAUACUUACAAAUUUUAACAAUAACUCAUAGUAAAAUAAAGAUGAAUAUACACACAAGGUGCAUGUUGUUCUUUGGAAACGGUAAUGAAAUUGUUUAUUACUUGUUUACAGAUUAUAAUAUUGUAAUAUUAGCAAUAAAUUGUUUUAUACUGA